GAUGAACGCUGGCGGCGUGCUUAACACAUGCAAGUCGAACGAAGCACUUUAUUUGAUUUCCUUCGGGACUGAUUAUUUUGUGACUGAGUGGCGGACGGGUGAGUAACGCGUGGGUAACCUGCCUUGUACAGGGGGAUAACAGUUGGAAACGGCUGCUAAUACCGCAUAAGCGCACAGCAUCGCAUGAUGCAGUGUGAAAAACUCCGGUGGUAUAAGAUGGACCCGCGUUGGAUUAGCUAGUUGGUGAGGUAACGGCCCACCAAGGCGACGAUCCAUAGCCGACCUGAGAGGGUGACCGGCCACAUUGGGACUGAGACACGGACCAAACUCCUACGGGAGGCAGCAGUGGGGAAUAUUGCACAAUGGGCGGAAGCCUGAUGCAGCGACGCCGCGUGAGCGAAGAAGUAUUUCGGUAUGUAAAGCUCUAUCAGCAGGGAAGAUAAUGACGGUACCUGACUAAGAAGCACCGGCUAAAUACGUG
rnacentral:rRNA from 1 species